rnacentral:rRNA from 1 species
UGGUGUGGAAACGCCUGCCGUAGAAGGUGAUAGUCCUGUAGCUGAAGAUGAUGGUGUGUGGGUUGUUGGGUUGCCCGAGUAGCAGCGGGCUCGUGGAAUCUGCUGUGAAUCUGCCGGGACCACCCGGUAAGCCUAAAUACUCAGUGUGACCGAUAGUGGAUAGUACCGUGAGGGAAUGGUGAAAAGUACCCCGGGAGGGGAGUGAAAUAGUUCCUGAAACCAUGUGCUUACAAUCCGUCAGAGCACUUUUUGUGUGUGAUGGCGUGCCUUUUGAAGAAUGAGCCUGCGAGUCAGCGGCAUGUCGCGAGGUUAACCCGUGUGGGGUAGCCGUAGGGAAACCGAAUCCUAAUGGGGUGUUUAGUGGCAUGUCCUGGACCCGAAGCGGGGUGAUCUACCCAUGGCCAGUGUGAAGCAGCAGUAAGAUGCUGUGGAGGCGCGAACCCACGUAGGUUGAAAACUGCGGGGAUGAGCUGUGGGUAGGGGUGAAAGGCCAAUCAAACUCCGUGAUAGCUGGUUCUCCCCGAAAUGCAUUUAGGUGCAGCGUCGCAUUAGCUUGGUGGAGGUAGAGCUACUGGUUGGUUGAGCGGGACUACAAUCUUAGCAAUGUCAGCCAAACUCCGAAUGCCAUUAAUGUGUUGUGCGGCAGUGAGACUGUGGGGGAUAAGCUUCAUAGUCGAGAGGGAAACAGCCCAGAUCGCCGGUUAAGGCCCCUAAGGGUGUGCUAAGUGGAAAAGGAUGUGGGAUCGCGAAGACAGCCAGGAGGUUGGCUUAGAAGCAGCCAUCCUUGAAAGAGUGCGUAAUAGCUCACUGGUCGAGUGGUUCUGCGCCGACAAUGUAGUGGGGCUCAAGCACACCGCCGAAGCCGCGGCAAUAAUAUUUUGUUAUUGGGUAGGGGAGCGUCGUGCACGUGUUGAAGCGUUACCGUGAGGAGGCGUGGAGUGUGUGCGAGUGAGAAUGCAGGCAUGAGUAACGAAUUGGAAGGUGAGAAUCCUUCCCGCCGGAUGACUAAGGGUUCCUGGGUCAAGUUCGUCUUCCCAGGGUGAGUCGGGACCUAAGGCGAGG